rnacentral:snRNA from 1 species
ACGCUCUGGUCUCCCUUCAAAUCCACGAAAUAAUCUUUCGCCUUUUACUAAAGAUUACCGUGGAGGGGGACAUUAAUUUGAGCCUUUAGGCAAUUUUUGGAGCCCUCAGCUUAUGAGGGC